ACCGGAUGUCUAGCAGUGAAGAUGACAAUGUUCCAUAUGGCGGCGGGCACGGUUAGAAGGACUUGUUCAUUUCACAUUUUAAACAAAAAUCGUAAACCACUUAUCGAAAAAUUAAAAACUGCCAGGACUUUUAUCUGUCAGAAGAAAAAAGGGAUCCAGCAUUGCGUGUCUUCCAUAACAAAUGCGUUUCAAAGGAUAUGAAAUUCCUUUAUCUGGUGAACCUCGCCCCACCUCGCUAACCUUGAUCGCCCGAGGCAGGAACGAGGAUACAAUCCGUUUUCGUCGCCCUAGCAACCUAUUCCGGGCUCUGGAUCCAAACUUUCUUUUGAAGACGGAUGAGUGGCAACGUAUUUUAUCAUUUCCAUGACUGCGGGACUGAAACUGUAAUUCGAUUUAUUGAAGACCACUGCAACCUGCAGGAUUUGCAGGUGCUGAAUAUUGAAAUUGGUUUUUACAAAAUGAUUUGUGUAUUGAUAUGGUUAGGGAAUAUUUACAGUGUUUGCUUCGCUUUCCAUUCACGGGAUUUUUGAAUUACUUGGUAGUUAAGCGUAUUAUACAGUUUGGAGUCGUUAUAACAUCGUUCGAUUAUUUAAAAAAAAAUUGUUUAUUUGAAAAGGGUUUCGAUAUGCUAUUUCCUUCCCAGAUAAGGAAUUCUUAGUUAUUUCCACAACAUAGGAUCUCAACCUAUCACCGCCAGUUUGUCGAACUCAGAACGCUCGUUAAACGCCAAAUUAAGGUUGCCUACGCAGCGUUUAUCCAAAUGGUCGAGGACAAUAUAAAAAAUGAACCAUCUAAA
rnacentral:lncRNA from 1 species